UCCAGACUCCUACGGGAGGCAGCAGUGGGGAAUAUUGCACAAUGGGGGGAACCCUGAUGCAGCGACGCCGCGUGGGUGAAGGAGUACUUCGGUACGUAAAGCCCUAUCAGCAGGAAAGAAAAUGACGGUACCUGGCUAAGAAGCCCCGGCUAACUACGUGCCAGCAGCCGCGGUAAUACGUAGGGAGCAAGCGUUGUCCGGAAUUACUGGGCGUAAAGGGCGCGUAGGUGGUAUGUCAAGUCAAGGGUGAAAUCCCCGCGCUCAACGUGGGAACUGCCUUUGAAACUGGCAAACUGGAGUGUGUGAGAGGAUAGUGGAAUUCCAGGUGUAGGAGUGAAAUCCGUAGAUAUCUGGAGGAACAUCAGUGGCGAAGGCGACUAUCUGGCACAUAACUGACGCUGAGGAGCGAAAGCGUGGGUAGCAAACAGGAUUAGAUACCCCCGUAC
rnacentral:rRNA from 1 species